rnacentral:lncRNA from 1 species
GAAGAAUUUGAAUACUAGGCUAGUGUAGUUUACUUAAUAUCAUUGGAAGUUUUUGUUAUUGUACUUAAUAUGGGAGUGAUUCGUUUGAAAUGCCACUUAGACACACCCUCUUCAGCUAACAUAGGAUAUGAGCUUCAAUUCCAGAAACUCUUAGGCAUUCACCAAUGCAAUCAAGGCAUCAGUUGUCAGAGCAGGCCAUUUGUGCAGCCAACAUCAAAUUAUCCAGUACUCGCUAUGUUCCAGGCACUCUGCUUUACUUUCAUUGCCUUGUCCUCCAGGAGCUCACAGUCCACUGGGGAAGAGAAGCAGUUAGCAAAGCAUUCUAAUACAAUGUGGAAAGUCGAUAAUAGAGAGAGGAAUAAAGCAUCUUGGCUACAUUAAGAAGGGAAUACUAACCCUGCCUGAGUGAGCCUAGAAGGACUUCACUGAGGAAAUAACAUAUGCAUUAAUCCUUGAAGAAUGAGCAAUAAGUAGCCUACCAGGCAGAUAAUUUCAUUUAAAAAAAAGAUUUUAUGCAUGGAGAGAGAAACACCAAAAUUAUGAAAAUGCAAGAGAGAAUAGCAUGUCUGGAGACUAAUAGUAAGUAGUCUUGUGUUGUUCAGGUAUAAUAUAUAUGGUGUAGAAUCAUGGAAAUCAUGAA